GACGAACGCUGGCGGCGUGCUUAACACACGCAAGUCGAGCGGUAAGGCCCUUUCGGGGGUACACGAGCGGCGAACGGGUGAGUAACACGUGGGUGACCUGCCCUCAGCUCUGGGAUAAGCCUGGGAAACCGGGUCUAAUACUGGAUAUGACUCCAUGACGCAUGUUGUGGGGUGGAAAGCCUUGUGCAGCUGAGGAUGGGCCCGCGGCCUAUCAGCUUGUUGGUGGGGUGAUGGCCUACCAAGGCGACGACGGGUAGCCGGCCUGAGAGGGCGACCGGCCACACUGGGACUGAGACACGGCCCAGACUCCUACGGGAGGGCAGCAGUGGGGAAUCUUGCGCAAUGGGCGAAAGCCUGACGCAGCGACGCCGCGUGAGGGAUGACGGCCU
rnacentral:rRNA from 1 species